UCUGCAUUCAGAUUGUUUAGAAUGACUUUGUCACUCCUGUAAAUAAUGUAACGACUCUAUUGUUUCUCAGACCCUGAUAUCCAACAGCGAUGUCAUGAAUAAUUCCACCUCUGUUAGUAAGAAGAAGGAGAAGAAAGAGCAACUAACCAAAGCACAGAAGAGGAAACUGAUUGGAAGAACGGAUAAUAAGGGUGAACUGCCAAGAGGUUGGGACUGGGUAGAUGUUAUUAAGCAUGUAAGUAGUUUAUGUGUAUAAAAUAUACAUGUAUUUACAAGAUACAGUGGCUCAAAGAAGUAUUUGCACUCUAAGGUCAAUUUAAGCAAAAUUGUUGUGACAUUAGAUUGAAAAAGGAUCAAAUCAAAUGGUGUUUAUUUGAAAGAAAACAAACACAAGCAUUUUACAGAAAUUUGACAUGCGUGUAUUUUUUAGAUAAGAAAAUAAUAGACAGAUGGACAAUAGACACAAGUGUUUGGGCAUAGUUCAUAUGAUGAAGUCCACCUGUGGUUAAGUGAAGUGACAUGUGGCCAAGUAUGGUGACCCAUACUCGGACACACACACCUGC